AAAACAUUUUAAUGCCAUAUUUGUACAAUUUGAAUAAAUACAUGAGAUACUCUGGUGACAGAAACCAGGAACUAACAGUCUCAGCCAGUCUGCUGCUUCAACACCUGCUCGUUAACUGUCAUGGAGCUGCUUCAGUGAACAAGAGUCCCGGAAACGAUCCAAUCUAAUUGGCUGUGACUGAUAGGAGGUUAUGAAGAGUGACAGGAGUGAUAUUAUUAUGUUGACAGGAAGCAGACACCUCUGAAUAAUGUCUGAAAACUGUCAUUUCUUACCCUGACAGACCAGUUCAGUGGGACUGAAUUGUUAUUUCAAAGACUGUAAUUGAUUAAUGCAAAGCAGCAGCAGCCGCAGCAGCAGCCGCAGCAGCAGUCCCGUCUAUGUAGGCCUGCAGCCAGACUGGGACCAGGAUCCUCAAACAAAGCAUCCAUUCACAGGGAGGCUGGGGAGGGAGGGAGUGGGUGCUAUACAUUUUGGUUAAGCCAGAGUAAAUUAAUAACAGUAUAAAGUCUGAAAGAAAAAAAAUAUAAUGGCAGUGUGCAAGAUCCACAUUUGGUUGGGUCAAGACUGGCACCAGCAGGUGUAUAAGAAGACUGAGGAUCUGCUGCAGAUCAGAGGGAGGUGAAUUAUAACUGAA